GAUACUGAAACAAUUUGCAUACUGAUUCUCUUUCAGUGCGCACAGAUCCAUAACAACACCGGCCAGCUAUUCAAAUGCGCCUACAUCCAGAAAAGCACGGAGAGAAGCUACGGCACCGGAGCAGGAAAAGAGAGGCUUAUUGCGAGACGGAUAAUUUGCGAUUGGAAACGGAGACGCAUGCAGCGGCUAAGGAUGUUUACCUCGGUCAGGAUUUGGGACUCUGGCCGCUCUGGAGAAAAGCUGGAAGCCGGAGGAAGAGGACGAGGGAGAGGGUGGGACGGGGGGAAAACACACACGGAGGAAACGCGCGGAUGCAAGAGCAUCCUCUGGUUUUUGCAACUCAGCUGCCGAAAUAUUGAUCCACGGUCCUCUCUGCGAGGCAUUAUAUUGUUUCUGCUCGGAUAUGCUGCUCUGGGCUUCACGGGAAUAUGCCCUGAUUAAUAAUCAGUGUGAAACCUGUAAGUAAUUGACACAGUGCCUUCAGGUGCCCAUUGCCUGGCCUCACUUUGCUGCAGCACGUACUUUUCUUUUUCAUAUAAAACUGGAUUAUAGUAAAACAAAAAAUAAAAAAACGAAAUAAUCUAUUUUUCCAAACUCCUCUGCAAAUCCACAUCCUGCACAUGCAUGCAUCUGCGAGGCACUACUUGUUGGCCCUUUUGCCUCUGUUUUCUUUGUACUAAUUGAAUUGAAUCCCGCUUGAAAUGUAUCCUCUUUCAGAAGUGCUUAGACAACCGUGUCCCUUAUAGGCUAUUCUCUGCAAAGCAAAUGUCACCGGCUCGGAGGGCCAGGCCUAUCUCGGCACAAUGGCCAUAGAGAGCCAACACACAUAAACACACAGCUCAGGUCGUGCAGACAUGGCAGGAGUGUAUCGAUCCGUAUGAGAAUGUGUAGAUGAGGUUUGCUGCCAUAUAAGGCCAAACAUUGGCCUUUCAUAUUCCUCAGUCUUUCUACAUCGUGUCUCUGGAUCGGGUGUGCAGCGAAAUAAAAAUAGAGCAAAUUGGCCACUUGACAAAUACAGAAAAGAGAGUUAUAAAAUCUAUAAUUUUAAAGAACAAUGCAAAACUGUAUAUAAUCUGUAUAUUAGAAGAUGACAAAAAUCGGAUUAAAUUGAAGUGUGGGUACCUAUAAUAUGGAGCAUGAAACAGCUGAUUUAAAAUGAAUUGUAAGCAUAUUCACGGUGUUUUUGUUUCCCUGUUGACAGCCCUUCUAUUAUGUCCGCAGGACUACACGGUUGGACAGCCACACUUCGAGGAAUUAGUGUCCUUUUGUCUCGACACACGUCACACACACGCCGUUGACAUUGACUUCACAUCAGAGACAGUUUAACUUCUCCUCUUUUUUUUCUUCUUUUCUUUUAUUUAACUCGUUCAACCGAGUGCUGGGUCUAUUGUGGGGACCCUGACAGAUGCAGGGCCCCUAGCAGGUCCAGGACAGGGAAAAGUCUGAAAGGUUAAUCUGUCCCCCCGCAGAUGUUGGCUUUGGGAGUCUUGAAGCGUCACCUUUGACAUGUCCCUCAUUCAGCAGGGGGUCCAGCAGGACACUGACCGCUGCAAGCUGUCACCUCGGCCGGCGGAGGACGCCCUGCGCUACCGCUCUAUUAGGCUAAACGGCCCCUGACAUGUAAGCAGGGACCGGCUUUUAUCAGGCUGCAGGUUUGGGGAGUUUGACACCCAUGCAGCAUAAAGCCGUACAACAACACGGGGAUACCAGUCGUGUUAUGUGUCAGCAUGUCAUUUCCUCCACGGCCUUGGACUUUAUAGAGAAGUUGAGAUUGUGUCUGUGAGUGAAUUUGUAUAAUUUAGAAGUUUCUGUCGACAACAAUAAAUGUUCUCUUAUUGAAUAAAUAAAAUGUUGGAGUUUUAUU
ensembl:lncRNA